UAAUUAUUGUUAUAAAUACACUAGAAACAGAUAUAUAAGGAAAGGUUUUUAUUAAUUACAGCAAGCCAGCAAUAAGCAAAAGUCGGCGCCAGGCAGCAGGGAGGAGGAGGAGAAACCUCCUCACCAUUUAUUGAUUAUUAAUUAAAUAUUAAUUAAAUACUAUUUAUUAAUUAUUAAGUAAAUAUUGAUUAAUUAUUUAUUUGCACGUUAUUAUUUAUUAUUUAAUUAUUAAUUAAAACUCUAGGUGAUUUCCAGGAGCAAACAAAAGGCGAUAGUCAAGGUGCUAGUGAACUGGUGUUAAAAGACAAAUUCUUCAUUGUCAAUCCAGCUACCAUCCUUGUUCAGUUAAACUCUGCAACAGAUCUCCCACAAAGUUGUGUCCUGCUGUUGCUGCUUCUGAAGGAUCAUGGAAUCACAGAAUGGUUUGACUUGGAAGUGACUUUAAAGCUCAUCUCAUUCCACCCUUGCCAUGAGCAGGGUCACCUUCACUAAACCAGGUUGCUUCGCCCUGGCCUUGAACACUUCCAGGGAUGGAGCACUUCCACGAUGGCUGUUUGACUUCCUUUGCAAUGGCAAAUGCUUUUGCUGGGGUUCCUCUGCUGAAAUCACACCCUGACCAAAUGCAACACCAACAAAAAUCUGGACUUGUGCCAGACUGCCAUCAUCAGAGCUCAGCCAGCAAACAGUGCUCAGCAAAAGGGAAGGAGUUUUCCACAUCCCAUAUGCAACAUUUCCCUGAUCUGUCCCUUUCCAAAUUGCAAGCUGCACAACUGUGAGCUGGCAUCAAGACUCUGAGUUUUUCAGGAACAGGCAAUGGGAGUGGAAGCAGGAGCCCAAAAGGGGGAAUGAAAUUGCUAGUGGUGAACCAGAGAAAAUGCAAGUUAAUUCUCCUUCUCCACAUACCAUUGUGGAGUGGGAAUUGCAGCCUGUCUACUGAGAAGCAGAGAUCAGCACAUCUCCUUUGCUUGGAAAUGGCUUUGCCUAAUAUCCCA
rnacentral:lncRNA from 1 species